rnacentral:rRNA from 1 species
GUGGGGAAUCUUGCCCAAUGGGCGCAAGCCUGAGGCAGCGACGCCGCGUGCGGGACGAAGGCCUUCGGGUUGUAAACCGCUUUCAGCAGGGACGAAGCGGAAGUGACGGUACCUGCAGAAGAAGCCCCGGCCAACUACGUGCCAGCAGCCGCGGUAAUACGUAGGGGGCGAGCGUUGUCCGGAUUCAUUGGGCGUAAAGAGCUCGUAGGCGGCUGUUCAAGUCGAACGUGAAAACUCGGAGCUCAACUCCGAGCCUGCGUUCGAUACUGGAUGGCUAGAGUCUGGUAGGGGGACCUGGAAUUCCUGGUGUAGCGGUGGAAUGCGCAGAUAUCAGGAGGAACACCGGUGGCGAAGGCGGGGUCCUGGGCCAGUACUGACGCUGAGGAGCGAAAGCGUGGGGAGCAAACAGGAUUAGAUACCCUAGUAGUCC